rnacentral:rRNA from 1 species
ACCCUGACCGAGCAACGCCGCGUGAGUGAAGAAGGUUUUCGGAUCGUAAAGCUCUGUUGUAAGUCAAGAACGAGUGUGAGAGUGGAAAGUUCACACUGUGACGGUAGCUUACCAGAAAGGGACGGCUAACUACGUGCCAGCAGCCGCGGUAAUACGUAGGUCCCGAGCGUUGUCCGGAUUUAUUGGGCGUAAAGCGAGCGCAGGCGGUUUGAUAAGUCUGAAGUUAAAGGCUGUGGCUCAACCAUAGUUCGCUUUGGAAACCGUCAAACUUGAGUGCAGAAGGGGAGAGUGGAAUUCCAUGUGUAGCGGUGAAAUGCGUAGAUAUAUGGAGGAACACCGGUGGCGAAAGCGGCUCUCUGGUCUGUAACUGACGCUGAGGCUCGAAAGCGUGGGGAGCGAACAGGAUUAGAUACCCUGGUAGUCCACGCCGUAAACGAUGAGUGCUAGGUGUUGGAUCCUUUCCGGGAUUCAGUGCCGCAGCUAACGCAUUAAGCACUCCGCCUGGGGAGUACGACCGCAAGGUUGAAACUCAAAGGAAUUGACGGGGGCCCGCACAAGCGGUGGAGCAUGUGGUUUAAUUCGAAGCAACGCGAAGAACCUUACCAUGUCUUGACAUCCCGAUGCUAUUUCUAGAGAUAGAAAGUUACUUCGGUACAUCGGUGACAGGUGGUGCAUGGUUGUCGUCAGCUCGUGUCGUGAGAUGUUGGGGUUAGGGUCCCGCAAACGAGCGCC